AUCUUUCUCACAACAAUAUCACUAUCAAGCAAUAACAGUUAUCCAUUUAGACACCUUAAAAAACACACUAACAUUACAUCAGACUCAAAUAACACAAACAAAAGAGUCCACAUGAUUUAAGCAUCAGUGUAUGAUCUUCAACAAACAUACUAAGAAAGGAAAAUUAUGAAAAUAGAUAAAUGCCUAUUAAAAUAUAUGCCAAAAUGAGAUGGACUACCGGUAUUCAAUGAAAGUAUUUAAUUUAUCAAGGUAGGGUAAAUUACCCUUGAAUCAAGUUUGCUUGAAGGGGUCAAAAUCCUGAAGCUGAUGAAAUAUAAAAGAGUGUGAAAAUUACUAUUAAAAAUCAUUCCAACAUUUUUUCAUGUACUGCACUUUUUGCAUGUUUAAAAAAAAUACAUUGAUAAUAUCCUCAAUCAACAUGAAUAAAUUUGUAUUAAUAGACAAGACUUGGCUUUGAUUCAGAUAAAAAAAAAUUGUGUUUUGUUAAGUAUCUAAAAUACUUGGCCAACAUCUUACCAAAUAUCAUUUAAAUAUUUAGUUUAAAGAUCACAAGAUUGUUUUAAAGGACAUACUGUGAAACAAAUUAAAGGAAAAUUGGUCUUAUCUCUUGCAACAGAUACGAUAGAUAAUAUAAAUGGCAAACAAUGUAUGUUAUCUAUUCCCAACCAGUUAUUAAGGGGAGACAAUUAGCACUUAGAAAAAACUGAAUUAUCUCCCCUGCAUAAAAUGAUUAGAAAUGUGAACAAAAUAUUAAAAGUCUUAUAAGUUUUAAACUUAAAACCAAAUUAAAAUGACAAGAGAUCAAAAAUGUUUGUUUGAAAAAUUAAACACAGAAAAACAAUGGAACAAUUCAUAAAACAUGAAAAUUAGGAAGAUGCAUAUUUAUGUGAAUUCAACCUUCAAUGUUUCUGAUAUGUUCAUCUCAAAUAUUUACUGUAUGAUCUUCCAAUCACAUGUGUAAAUAAUUUACUUCAAUCAUACUAUUUUGUAUAAAUGAUUUACAUCUAACCUUUCACACUUGUGUAAAUGCUUUACACCCUAACUUUCACACUUGUGUAAAUGCUUCACACCUACCUUUCACACUUGUGUAAAUGAUUCACAACCUCAUUGCUUGUACAAGAAAGGCAGGAUAAAAACAAGCAGAAGGUCACAUGGCCUCUUACAACACAAGUUUAUGAUACAUUGUGUCUCUACUUUGUAAAGACUUGCUAUAUCACAUAUCUACAAUUUGCUGAGUUUUAUAUACAAUUUCUAGGACAUUACGUUUUAAUUUUCUAUUCUAAAUUUUUAUCUACUAUACCAUGAAUAGCAAUAAGCUGCUAGCAUCUUAAUGUCUGCACAUUUUUAUACUUACACAACAAAAUUAAAGAACUUUUUUUUUCUUGAACUGACACAAAGUGAGAUCAUAUUUAUAUUUUUGUGAAGGUUUGGGAUUUUUAAAGGAGAUUUUUUAUAUUGCCCUGUAUGACAUCACAAAGACCUAUUUUGAAAACAAUAUAAUUUUAUAGAAUAUAAGAUAGAAAAGUGACAAUAAACAAAAUAAACAUGCCAUAGAUUUAUGUCUAUGUAAAUAAACAUAAAGAAUAUAAACAACAAAAUUCAUAAAUAAUGUAAAACUUGCCAUUUUAUAUUAUGAGUAAUAAACAUAUAAAAAUUGUUGUCAAAGCUUUCUGGGUUGAGUUGUAAAAGUUAAAAUAUUGUCACUGACACCAUAAUUAUUUGAUACAAUUCGUAAAAGUGUCACACUACCAAAUAUGGUUGUGCUUAAAAUUACCUAUAAGACAUCCAAUUGCUAUAAAAAUUAGGUUUCCAAACCAGAUUAAAAGUUUAAACAUAGCACCUUCUUCAUAUGACAAUUUCUUUUAAUACUACAUGUACUAUAUAUCAUGUAUAUCAUGCUAUAGUAGUCUCAGAUUUCCUUGAUAGAGAAGUCGGUUGUCCUGUUUUCACCAUGUUUAGAAAAUUAUUCUAUUUAAAAAAAUACAUAAAUUGGAAGAUAUGGUAUAAUUGCCAAGGAGAACAUUAUCCAAUAUUAAAGAAGAUUAUUUUUCUAUGUUCUGCCUUAUACUAAAAAAGUUAGACCUUUAACUUUAAAAAUCUCUGCCAGAUUCACAUAUUUAGGAAUCAAAAGGAUUUAAAAGACCUUUCUUUGUAGUUUUGAUUGGUGACAAAAUAUUUAACUCUUAACUUACAUAUAACCCCCUGUCCUAAAUGUUAGAGCAAGACUAGCACAUGAUAAAAAAUCAAAGCAAAUCAAAUCAAAGCCGUUCAACAAUCAUUUCAAAGAAACAUUAAUGCUUUUGUAGCAGAGGUAUUUCACCCAGGACGGAUUGGAUAUACUGUUUUAAUUUGUAUAAAAAACAAACAAAAUUUGCAGGAAAUAAACAUUAAAAUAGUUAUUCUUUCUCUUUAAAGGUACUAUUUUGAAGAAAGUGACUGAUUUAGGAAAUAAAUUCUUUGUAGAAAAUGUACAAUUUUAAAGCAUACAAACAUAAGUUAACAAAUCAAAGUGAGACAGAUCAAAUUGUGCAUCUAGCAAAUGCAUAUUACGAAGACAUAUUUAUCAUUCUAUCAUUGUAUAUGUAUAUCAACAAUAUUACCAGUUUAUUCACAAAAAAAAAAUCCUUCAUUAAAAAUAGUUACCAUACAAUUUAAAAUGGCUGACAAUGUGUAAAUGGUAUUACAUGAUUUACCUAGACCAAUGGGAUGAUGCAGGAGUUGUUAUCAUUUUAAAUAUUCAUGAAAGAUAACACCAUGCAUAUACUUGCAGGUUUACAGGGUUUUUUUUAAGUAAAUAAUGGUAAUUAAAACAUCUACAUACUAAUUUAAUCCUCCUAGCAAUUAAUGUCAGCCAAAAAUUCCCAAAUGCAAGGACUCUGAAAUUAUCCACUGACAUGUAUACAUAGUAUAUACAAUUGAGUUCAACAAAAAAAUGAACAAGUUUGCAUUGUUGAUUAAAACUACAUAUCUGAUCAAUGGCACUAACACAUACAAAUAGCCUACAUGUAAUGUACUUAUAUUUCUGAUUUUUCUGAUAUAUAUACAAAAACAUUUUUUGACAUUCAUUUUAAUUUAGGUGGGUGAUUGUUUUUCUUUGUCUAACUGUCUGAAAAGAGAUAAGAUAAGCAUCUGCAAAAAAAUCUUGUGAAAGAAAUUUUAAUAUUUUUUUCAACUUUGGUUUUCAAUUUUGUUUAAAUAAAUUAUUUCAUCUGUCUGUACAGAACAGGUAUGUAGAUACCAAUUUUUAAACAAUUUUCUACAGUAAUAAAAGGUAGAAACA
rnacentral:lncRNA from 1 species